UUCCAGAAGUCUGAUACCAAUCUUAUUUUCUUAAUUUUAUAACAGUUUUAGUCUGGAUGCCCAAUUUCUGGUGACUUUGCAGAAUGUGUUGGCGCUGAUUGCUCUGGACUGACCAUACCAGGAAACCACUCAUCUGCUUUCUGACUAUGGAUGUAAUAGACAGAACUCUGGAUAUCUUGGACCAAGAGGCUAUUUCCUAAAAACAAACGGCAUGUAAUUUCUCA
rnacentral:lncRNA from 10 species